AGCAGCGUCUACACUCCGGCUGCCGACACAGGCUAAGCGCCGCGCACACGCAGCGCUCUGCGGGCAGCCCGCCGCGCUCCGGAGAGAGCUCCGCCAGCUGCCGGAGACCCGCCCCCUGCCUCCAAGCGGCCAAUAGACACCCGUGGGGGGCGAAGCCCUCUGCCGCGAUUGGACAGAGCCGGUUGUCAAUCUCAUAGGCCACGGCGGGUUCGGCCCCUCCCUCCAGCCCCUCGCGGAACAGGUUGCUGCUGAGGGAAGAGGAGGAAUACCUUGUUUUUCUCCAGUUCUGGCUUUAAGAAUUGUGUUACAAAAGUAAGAGGGAAGCACCUGAAAUGGUCAGCCAUUUCAUUUUGGAGAAAUGUGAAAUCUAUCUGAAGCGUUUGCUGGGCAGAGGAAGUGCCAGCAGAGAAGGAGCACAGCGUAGAGACCAAUGGUUGUUUCCUGCAAAGAAGAGCAACACAGCAGCAGGACAUAAGGCAGUCUCUGCCGCAUGCUGAUCAGGCAGACCUUCAUUUUUGGCUCCAGCAUAAGAUGUAUGACUGGGAUCAGGAACCAUCUGAACAUUCAGAACAGAAGUCAUCUCCAUCAGGAACAAAUUAAUUGUGGAAGACACAUUCCUCACUUGCUGCUUACUCCUUGCAGGAAGCAUACCACUGCUGCAAGUUUUGAGUUCAUAGUAUGUUGCUUUCUGGAUACUGGAAAACUGUACAGGGCUCCAGUCUUGAUUUCCUUUGCCUACCCAAACUGGACCUGCCUUAGCAGAAUCAGAAUUGGAAUGAAGGCAGUGCCGCAAGCAGCCCUCUGACCAUACACAGCAUCUUCACAAGCCCCUCUGAUUCUUCACUGUGGAAUAAAGGCUUCCUAUGUUUUGUGGUCA
rnacentral:lncRNA from 1 species